GUCUACUAGAAAAAAAUAUGUAGUCUAACCUGCCCACUGAAUUUUAAAGGGCCGCGGUAUAUUAACCGUGCUAAGGUAGCAUAAUCAAUAGCCUCCUAAUUAGGGGCUGGAAUGAAUGGUUGGACGAGAAAUUAACUGUCUUAAUUAUAAUUUCUGAAUUUUACUUUUAAGUGAAAAGGCUUAAAUUUGUUAAAGGGACGAUAAGACCCUAUGAAACUUUAUGCUUUACAACUGCAUUUGGCUGGGGCGGCAUUAAUAUAACAUUUAUAAUUUAACUGUUAACAAUAAAAAAUAAAUAUAUUUAGUAGUCUUGAUCCUUUAUUAGAGAUUAAAAAAUUAAAGUUACUCUAGGGAUAACAGCGUAAUUUCUCUUGAGAGUCCGUAUCGACAGAGAUAGUUGCGACCUCGAUGUUGAAUUAAAAUUUCGGCAAGGUGUAGGAGUUUUGUCAGUAGGUCUGUUCGACCUUUAAAAUUUUACAUGAUUUGAGUUCAGACCGGCGUGAGCCAG
rnacentral:rRNA from 1 species